AUUGAACGCUGGCGGCAGGCCUAACACAUGCAAGUCGAGCGGAUGAAGGGAGCUUGCUCCUGGAUUCAGCGGCGGACGGGUGAGUAAUGCCUAGGAAUCUGCCUGGCGGUGGGGGAUAACGUCCGGAAACGGGCGCUAAUACCGCAUACGUCCUGAGGGAGAAAGUGGGGGUUCUUCGGACCUCACGCUAUCAGAUGAGCCUAGGUGGGAUUAGCUAGUUGGUGAGGUAAAGGCCUACCAAGGCGACGUUCCGUAACUGGCCUGAGAGGAUGAUCGGACACACUGGAACUGAGACACGGUCCAGACUCCUACGGGAGGCAGCAGUGGGGAAUAUUGGGCAAUGGGCGAAAGCCUGAUGCAGCCAUGCCGCGUGAGUGAAGAAGGUCUUCGGAUUGUAAAGCACUUUAAGUUGGGAGGAAGGGCAGUAAGUUAAUACCUGGCUGUUUUGACGUUACCAACAGAAAAAGCACCGGCUAACUUCGUG
rnacentral:rRNA from 1 species